ensembl:misc_RNA Metazoa_SRP Metazoan signal recognition particle RNA
GCCGGGUGUGGUUGUGCAUGCCUGUAGUCCCAGCUACUCGGGAGGCUGAGGCAGAAGAAUCGCUUGAACCCAGGAGGCAGAGGUUGCAGUGAGCUGAGAUCGCACCACUGCAUUCCAGCCUGGGCAACAGAGUGAGACUCUGUCUCAA